rnacentral:ncRNA from 1 species
GAAUAAAGCUUUAACGCAAAGCUUAAAAAAAAGAAUGAAAGGAUAUAAAUCUGGCUAUAUGCUAGAAAGUCUCGCAUAAACUUACGAUACUAGUAUGGAAUUAAAGUAUUAGUGAAAAUUCGUAAACUGAGAUCAUUAGCAGGAAAGACUCCAUCAGUUGGAGAAUCCCCACAGGCCAUACGCCAGAUACUAUUUACAUAAUGUAUUUAGUAAAGACAUGGUCGGACCCCUAUGGCGACAUAGGG